GAGUAGUUUAGAACAACUUGAAUGUAAUCCAACCAUCUAUGGAUCUAAGAUAUCAUAAUAAUCAUCUCAACACUACCCCCCUAUUCUUAAGUCUGAGAUAAUACCUCAAACGGAAGGAGUACUAUUGAGGUAAUGCCUCUGGCCAUACGUUGUUCAUCUUUUUAUUCUUCUUCUGAAGAGCCAGUAUGUGCCGGCGAUGAUCUUGUGCCUAUCACAUCUAGGGCUCUUCUCAUCUUCGCACGAG
rnacentral:lncRNA from 1 species